rnacentral:hammerhead_ribozyme from 1 species
AUCCGGCCGACUUGUCCCAAGUAGGACGAAACGCUCGUCUUGGAU